GACGCUGGCGGCAGGCCUAACACAUGCAAGUCGAGCCGCCUUCGGGCGAGCGGCGGACGGGUUAGUAACGCUUGGGAACGUGCCCAGAUCUACGGAAUAGCCACUGGAAACGGUGAGUAAUACCGUAUACGCCCUUCGGGGGAAAGAUUUAUCGGAUUUGGAUCGGCCCGCGUUAGAUUAGGUAGUUGGUGGGGUAGCGGCCUACCAAGCCUACGAUCUAUAGCUGGUUUUAGAGGAUGAUCAGCAACACUGGGACUGAGACACGGCCCAGACUCCUACGGGAGGCAGCAGUGGGGAAUCUUGGACAAUGGGGGCAACCCUGAUCCAGCCAUGCCGCGUGAGUGAAGAAGGCCCUAGGGGUCGUAAAACUCUUUCGCCUGUGAUGAUAAUGACAGUAGC
rnacentral:rRNA from 1 species